GGGAGAUGUUCUAUUUGCUUGUCAAAAUCAGUUGCUAUGGGAGCUCUCUCCUCAGCUUGCUCCUUUCCUUCAAAGAGGCUUUUAGAUGGGUAAAACAAAAAGGUUUUAAAAAUGUUAUCGUUGAGUCAAAAGAUACUUAAUGAACUUAUUGAUACUUCUAUUUGUUUCCUAAGAAGGUCAGCGAAUCUCGUUCCUCACGUAGCAUCCACACUAGAUGAGGUGCUAGAUUACCUUAUGGGAAUCUCACAUCGACUGAGCACAAGGUGAAAGUGAUGUAUAAGAAUGGGCUACCCUUACACUAGCAAGAGGCCUCUCGACUAUUGAGUUGGUUCUAGCUUAGCAAUAAAAUCGCGUGGACCUGAGUUGCUUUGCUGGUGUAGGAUUCGCCUAGGGUGUCAAAUCCAUCCCCUUAGAGACUCAAGGUCCUCACUGAGGUUUGCCCCACCACCACUCAUAGUUUUUGUUCAUGGCUUAAAACUAAUUCAAUAGCCCAAAAAGCCUCUUGUUAGUCUAAGGCUUCCUCAUCCUUAUGUACUUCAAUUACACCUUGUGCUUAACUGAUGUGAGAUUUGCCUAGGGCAUCACAGCUCACCUGCUAGCAACUAGAGCUUAUUCUGUGUUUGAUCCUAUGGAGUGGGUCUUGUCCUCCAUCUUUUC
rnacentral:lncRNA from 1 species